CGCCGCGCCUACAGCUCCCGGCGUGCAUCGCGCUACCCCGCCGGUAGGGGCUGGUCGCCGUCUGGCGGAGCGGAGGGGAAUUGCCGGGCCCCGGGGAGAAGCGGCGGCGGCGGAACGGUGCGGGCAGGGCCGCAGCCGCGUCCCCGGGGGCUCGGGAUCGGCCCCUGCCCAUCGACGGGACCGACAGCAGGGAAACGCCCGCCUCCCCCGCUCUCCUGUGCUCCAGCCACCUGCCAAUUCCCCGCCCCUGGAACAGCAAACCUGGCCCCCUGGGCAGGAUUUUGGGGCAUAGAUUGUCCCACAGUCACUCAGGGUAAUGAAUUUGAAGUCCUGUCUUCCCAGCGAUCCCGCUAAUUCCCGAGCAGAGCUGGUGCCUGGAGGCACUGGCAGCAGAUCCUCGGGAUCACGGGGUGGUUCUCUGCCGCCCUGGGGUGUCCUGCUUGGACAGCGUCUCCUCGGCCCAGGGAGCAUUCCUAACUGUCCUGGAGGCUCUCCCACCUGAGAUGGAAAAGCACGUGGAAAUUCCUCUGGCAUGAGAUGCAGGAGGAGGCGCCAGGGUGGGAUCCCGGAAUUUCAGGUCUGUCCCUUCCAUCCAGGGAGGAGCCGAUCAGCCCCACCAGGAGUGAGACCAGCCGCACUCACAGCCCUUCAGACACUGCCUUUGCUCUCCUGGCCAGAAAAUUCCGUGUUUUUCAGGGAGCUCGGUUAGGAAAGAGAGUCCUGGAGUCGUCUCCCAAGGGAAGCAAAACAAGACACCAGGACACAGCCACUUGAGAGCCACCUGCCUUCUCCAAGCCAGGUUUCACUUGGGAAAACUCCCUUUUCUGCCUCCUUUCCGUGUCCCUUUGGGCUGCCCUCUCCUCCUCCAAUGCCAUCCUGGUGAAGGUGUCACCCCUUGGAGUGUUCAGGAGAUCUCCUCCCAUCCUAUCAGAUAAAUUUGCUUCCCGUGAGAUCCACAAAGCCUCUGCAGUUCCUGGGAGGGUUUGGACAGGGUGGUGACAUGACAGAUGUCACAAGAGCAGUGUUCCCCCCAGCAGAGCUGGAGAAGGUCACAAUUCCUGACAUGGUUCUGGAGCUGGGGAGGGCACAGCGUUGGCACCCCGAUCCAGGCUUCCCUCCCACACCACUUCAGGGUCUGCCUCAGCCAACGGUGUGUUAACAGCACCCAGAUUAGAAACCAAACCUGGAAUGGUGAAUUACAGAGUAAAUACAAAAAUGGACCCACUGGUUUUCUGCCUGAAUCAUCUCCAAUAGAUGAAGAGGAAGCAGGGAUGAUGGAAGCAGGACCAGGAAUGCCAGUGGCUUCACUACCCAGUUUCACUGACUCCUCCUGUGGUGUCAUCAUCAAUUUUUCAGGAAAAGUUUCAGAGUUCCACGUGCCAAACAAAACACUGGGCAGGAAGGCACAAAUUGCAGCCGUGCUUGUGCAUUUGAGCCUCUCCUCAUUGAUUUAUGGCUUUUGAUGAAGUGAUUACAGAUGAAAGAAAAUAUUCCAGGGAACAGGAUCUGCAUGUUGCCGUGGUCUCGUGCCUGUCACAUCCUUCUGGGGGAGUUACAGCAGGAAACAGAACAGGAAAACAGCAGGGUCCUGGUCACCAGGCUCUGCUCUCACUGUGUGGGAGCACCAGACAGGACAGCAGCUCCCAGAGAAGCCUCUGGAUCCCUGGCAGUGCCCAAGGCCAGGUUGGAUGGGGCUUGGAGCCACCUGGGCCAGUGGAAGGUGUCCCUGCUGUGGCAGGGGGUGGGAUGCUCUAAGGGCCCUUCCAAGACCAUUCUGGCCUUAGAAAGGCAGUGGAGAGCCACAGAAAAGCAGGAGCAAUGGAACAGGGGACAAGGGAAAUGAGGAGGAGGGUCAUGAGACUCCUUUGAAAAUCCACGGAGAAACCCUCUGGGCAUGGGGGAUGGAGAGAAGGAAGCACAAAGGCACUUAUUAAGAAACACAUCAAGUAGAUUACAGAAACUCUGAACCAAUCCGAGCAAAGGUAACUCUUCCCGUUGGAACUGGGUUGGGCAGGGAAGGAUCUAGAAGGAAAGACAUUGGUUUGGAAAGAUGCCAAGAGCUGGGCUGCCUGGGCACAGUGAGGAGCUGGAAACACUUCCAUGUCAAAGGAGCCUGGGCUACACACAGAACCAGGGAAACAGCCCUGAUGACUGGGAAAAGGUAGACAGAAAGGAUCAAAAGAGGCAGCAGCUCAGUAUUAAAUAUUUAAUAUUGAUGAGGUGAUUGUGGAGAGGUUUCAGAACAGGCUGAGCCUUUAACAUCUCAAUAUCUGGUGAUUGUAUGGACUUGCCCAAAUAGAGAACUUCACUUGAGCUCCCUUUAGGAUCCAGAGGGGUUUGUGACCUGUUCAGCCAUGAGCCCACUGGAUUCUCCCUGCACACACCUUUAACCUUUAGCCAGUGGUGGUCACAGGUUAGCGCUGACAGCACGGCGUUUCUGCCUCCUCAGCAGCUGUUGAACAAACAUCCACUGCCCAGCCUUGUACCUGUGCUGCAAGUGCAAGGAAAUAAAUUCCACAAAUGCCAGUUCAUAAAGGGAAACCAUCAGUUCAUGAGUUACUUGGGUCCCUGAGCUUCUGAAUGGCCUCUGACCCUGAACCUGCUCAACCUGGCUGGAGGGAGGAGUGAAUUAUCCAGCACUUCUCGUCAGGCCUGAAUGUGAACUUUACUUUGGAAUCUGGGAAAAGUCAGGACCUGAGGAUGUGCUGCACCACCACCGGCUCGGUUCAAAGGGCUGUGGGAUCACAUCUAUUUUAUAUACACGCAGAAAGAAC